GACGAACGCUGGCGGCGUGCUUAACACAUGCAAGUCGAACGGUGAAGCGCCAGCUUGCUGGCGUGGAUCAUUGGCGAACGGGUGAGUAACACGUGAGCAACCCGCCCCAGUCUGUGUAAGAAGCGCUGGAAACGGCGUCUAUAACUGCAUACGAUAUCAAGCCGCACGGUUAUGGUCUGGAAAGUUCUUCGGUUUGGGCUGGGCUGGAGGGCUACCAGCUUCUUUGUGAGGUUAUGGCUGACAAGGGUGACGAGGGAUAGCCGGCGUGAGAGGGCGACCGGCCACCAUGGGCCUGAGAGACGGCGCAGAAUCCUACGGGAGGCAGCAGGGGGGAAUAUUGCACAAUGGGCGAAAGCCUGAUGCAGCGGCGCCGCGUGAGGGAUGACGGCCUUCGGGUGGUAAACCUCUUUCAGCAGGGAAGAAGCGAAAGUGACGGUACCUGCAGAAGAAGCACCGGCUAACUACGUG
rnacentral:rRNA from 1 species